rnacentral:rRNA from 1 species
UACGAAGGGGGCUAGCGUUGUUCGGAAUUACUGGGCGUAAAGUGCACGUAGGCGGCUUUGCAAGUCGGGUGUGAAAUCCCCGGGCUCAACCUGGGAACUGCAUCCGAGACUGCUUUGCUCGAGUAUGGGAGAGGGAAGUGGAAUUUCCGGUGUAGCGGUGAAAUGCGUAGAUAUCGGAAGGAACAUCAGUGGCGAAGGCGACUUCCUGGACCAAUACUGACGCUCAGGUGCGAAAGCGUGGGGAGCAAACAGG